rnacentral:rRNA from 1 species
UACGUAGGGGGCAAGCGUUGUCCGGAAUCAUUGGGCGUAAAGAGCGCGUAGGCGGCCCAGUAAGUCCGCUCUGAAAGUCAGGGGCUCAACCCCUGAAUGCGGGUGGAUACUGCUGGGCUAGAGUCCGGAAGAGGCGAGUGGAAUUCCUGGUGUAGCGGUGAAAUGCGCAGAUAUCAGGAGGAACACCAAUGGCGAAGGCAGCUCGCUGGGACGGUACUGACGCUGAGGCGCGAAAGCGUGGGUAGCAAACAGG